rnacentral:rRNA from 1 species
ACGGAGGGGGCGAGCGUUAUUCGGAAUUACUGGGCGUAAAGAGCGCGUAGGCGGCACUGUACGACCGCUGUGAAAGCCCCCGGCUCAACUGGGGAGGGUCAGUGGUAACGGCAGAGCUCUGAGUGCAGGAGAGGGAAGUGGAACUCCGGGAGUAGCGGUGAAAUGCGUAGAGACCCGGAGGAACACCAGUGGCGAAGGCGGCUUCCUGGUCUGCGACUGACGCUGUGGCGCGAAAGCUAGGGGAGCGAACGGGA